UACAGAGGGUGCAAGCGUUAAUCGGAAUUACUGGGCGUAAAGCGCGCGUAGGUGGUUCGUUAAGUUGGAUGUGAAAUCCCCGGGCUCAACCUGGGAACUGCAUUCAAAACUGUCGAGCUAGAGUAUGGUAGAGGGUGGUGGAAUUUCCUGUGUAGCGGUGAAAUGCGUAGAUAUAGGAAGGAACACCAGUGGCGAAGGCGACCACCUGGACUGAUACUGACACUGAGGCACGAAAGCGUGGGGAGCAAACAGG
rnacentral:rRNA from 2 species